rnacentral:rRNA from 1 species
UACAGAGGUCUCAAGCGUUGUUCGGAAUCACUGGGCGUAAAGGGUGCGUAGGCCGCACGGUAAGUCAGAGGUGAAAUCCCGGAGCUCAACUUCGGAAUGGCCUCCGAUACUGCCGUGCUUGAGGACUGGAGAGGAGUCUGGAAUUCACAGUGGAGCAGUGAGAUGCGUAGAUAUUGUGAGGAACACUAGUGGCGAAGGCGAGACUCUGGACAGUUCCUGACGCUGAGGCACGAAGGCCAGGGGAGCAAACGGG